rnacentral:rRNA from 9 species
ACGGGUGAGUAAUGCCUAGGAAUCUGCCUGGUAGUGGGGGAUAACGCUCGGAAACGGACGCUAAUACCGCAUACGUCCUACGGGAGAAAGCAGGGGACCUUCGGGCCUUGCGCUAUCAGAUGAGCCUAGGUCGGAUUAGCUAGUUGGUGAGGUAAUGGCUCACCAAGGCGACGAUCCGUAACUGGUCUGAGAGGAUGAUCAGUCACACUGGAACUGAGACACGGUCCAGACUCCUACGGGAGGCAGCAGUGGGGAAUAUUGGACAAUGGGCGAAAGCCUGAUCCAGCCAUGCCGCGUGUGUGAAGAAGGUCUUCGGAUUGUAAAGCACUUUAAGUUGGGAGGAAGGGCAUUAACCUAAUACGUUAGUGUUUUGACGUUACCGACAGAAUAAGCACCGGCUAACUCUGUGCCAGCAGCCGCGGUAAUACAGAGGGUGCAAGCGUUAAUCGGAAUUACUGGGCGUAAAGCGCGCGUAGGUGGUUUGUUAAGUUGGAUGUGAAAUCCCCGGGCUCAACCUGGGAACUGCAUUCAAAACUGACAAGCUAGAGUAUGGUAGAGGGUGGUGGAAUUUCCUGUGUAGCGGU